UACAAUCAUAUCAUGUUGAAACACUGGUCCUUGUACGGUCACUGAAGUUAAGCAGUAACGAGCUUGGUCAGUACCUAGAUGAGUGACCUCUUAAGAAUACCAGGUGCUGUAAU